GACGAACGCUGGCGGCGUGCCUAAUACAUGCAAGUCGAGCGGACCAAACAGGAGCUUGCUCUUGUUUGGUUAGCGGCGGACGGGUGAGUAACACGUGGGUAACCUGCCCGUAAGACCGGGAUAACUCCGGGAAACCGGAGCUAAUACCGGAUAACACCGAAGACCGCAUGGUCUUUGGUUGAAAGGCGGCUUCGGCUGCCACUUACGGAUGGGCCCGCGGCGCAUUAGCUAGUUGGUGAGGUAACGGGUCACCAAGGCGACGAUGCGUAGCCGGCCUGAGAGGGUGAGCGGCCAAACUGGGAAUGAGACACGGCACAGAAUCCUACGGGAGGCAGCAGUAGGGAAUCUUCCGCAAUGGACGAAAGUCUGACGGAGCGACGCCGCGUGAGCGAAGAAGGUCUUCGGAUCGUAAAGCUCUGUUGUUAGGGAAGAAGAAGCGCCGUUCGAACAGGGCGGCGCGGUGACGGUACCUAACGAGAAAGCCCCGGCUAACUACGUG
rnacentral:rRNA from 1 species